UACGGGGGGGGCAAGCGUUGUUCGGAAUUACUGGGCGUAAAGGGCUCGUAGGUGGCCAACUAAGUCAUACGUGAAAUCCCUCGGCUUAACCGGGGAACUGCGUCUGAUACUGGAUGGCUUGGAUUCGGGAGAGGAAUGCGGAAUUCCAGGUGUAGCGGUGAAAUGCGUAGAUAUCUGGAGGAACACCGGUGGCGAAGGCGGCAUUCUGGACCAAUUCUGACGCUGAGGAGCGAAAGCCAGGGGAGCAAACGGG
rnacentral:rRNA from 1 species